UACAGAGGUCUCAAGCGUUGUUCGGAUUCAUUGGGCGUAAAGGGUGCGUAGGUGGCGGGGUAAGUCAGGUGUGAAAUCUCGGAGCUCAACUCCGAAACUGCACUUGAUACUGCCUUGCUCGAGUACUGGAGAGGAGAUUGGAAUUUACGGUGUAGCAGUGAAAUGCGUAGAUAUCGUAAGGAAGACCAGAGGCGAAGGCGAAUCUCUGGACAGUUACUGACACUGAGGCACGAAGGCCAGGGGAGCAAACAGG
rnacentral:rRNA from 1 species